ACUUCUUCCACUCCAAAAUUAACUUUGCAAAAUAAAUUUAUUGUAAAGACACUAGCAAACCUCAAACUAUCCAUGCAUACGUAAAAGUUUUACAAUUUUUGCGUAAUUGGCAUGGUCAGGCAGAUAGGAGAGAAAAGUAGGAGAGGAAAUAUAACAGAUAGGAGAGGAAAUCCCAUUUCUCCUUCAUUCAUCUUGUGCCCUGAGGGCUAGUAAGUACAUUUCGGCGGCGUUAAAAUUCUUGUAGUCUCUUACUGAC